rfam:Porphyromonas asaccharolytica DSM 20707, complete genome.
GCGAAAAGUUAUAAGGGCAGAUGGCGGAUGCCUAGGCUCUUGGAGGCGAAGAAGGACGUGAUAAGCUGCGAAAAGCUGCGGGGAUUGGCACAUACGAAUUGAUCCGCAGAUAUCCGAAUGGGGCAACCCACUAGACUGGAGGUCUAGUAUCUCGCAAGAGAGGUCAACGAGGGGAACUGAAACAUCUCAGUACCCUCAGGAAAAGAAAACAAAAGUGAUUCCCUUAGUAGUGGCGAGCGAACGGGGAGUAGCCCAAACCGCAGAUGUUUCGGCAUCUACGGGGUUGUAGGAGUAGCACUAAUGUACUGUAAACGUGUAGAAGAACGGAUUGGAAAGUCCGACCAUAGAGGGUGACAGUCCCGUACUUGAAACAUGUUUGUAGACAGAGCUACCACCUGAGUAGCGCGGGACACGAGAAAUCCUGUGUGAAUCUGCGGGGCCCAUCCCGUAAGGCUAAAUACUUCCAAGAGACCGAUAGUGAACAAGUACCGUGAGGGAAAGGUGAAAAGAACCUCGAUAAGAGGAGUGCAAUAGACCCUGAAACCAUCUGCUUACAAGCGGUAGGAGCCCCCUGAGGGGUGACUGCGUGCCUUUUGCAUAAUGAACCUACGAGUUACCGUUGCCGGCGAGGUUAAGUACAGGUAAGUACGGAACCGGAGCGAAAGCGAGUCUGAAUAGGGCGAUUAGUCGGUAGAGGUAGACGCGAAACCAAGUGAUCUACCCUUGGUCAGGUUGAAGGAUAGGUAACACUAUCUGGAGGACCCAACCGGUAAGCGUUGAAAAGCUUUCGGAUGAACUGAGGGUAGGGGUGAAAGGCUAAUCAAACUUGGAGAUAGCUCGUACUCCCCGAAAUGCAUUUAGGUGCAGCCUUUGGUGUUUCUUGUAUGAGGUAGAGCGACUGAUUGGAUGCGAGGCUUUCACCGGCUAUCAAGUCCAGACAAACUCCGAAUGCGUACAAGUCAAAGCCAAGGAGUGAGGGCAUGGGUGCUAAGGUCCAUGUCCUAAAGGAGAACAAUCCGGACCAUCGGCUAAGGUCCCGAAAUCACCACUAAGUUGGACAAACGAAGUCAAGAUGCGAAGACAGCUAGGAUGUUGGCUUGGAAGCAGCCAUUCAUUUAAAGAGUGCGUAACAGCUCACUAGUCGAGGAUUUUGGCGUGGAUAAUAAUCGGGCAUAAGUGGUGUACCGAAGCUGUGGGAUGUGAAUACAUCGGUAGGGGAGCAUUCCUAUUGAGCAGAAGAUACAGGGGCAACCUGUGUUGGAUCGAUAGGAAAAGCAAAUGUAGGUAUAAGUAACGAUAAAGGGGGCGAGAAACCCCCUCGCCGAAAGACUAAGGAUUCCUGAUCAACGUUAAUCGGAUCAGGGUUAGUCGGGGCCUAAGGAUAAGCCUAAUGGCGAUUCCGAUGGAAGAACUGGUUAAUAUUCCAGUACUAAUAUAUUGAGUGAUGUGGAGACGGAGAAGUGACACUACUGCCGACUGACGGAAUAGUUGGUUAAAGGGUGUAGAUAGUUGGUUUGUAGGCAAAUCCGCAGACCGAGUCGAACCUGAGAGUACACUGCGUGCAUGCACAAAGUGAUAAUGUAGGUAAGCCAGCUCCCAAGAAAACCCGCUAAACAAUUGAUAUAUUACCCGUACCACAAACCGACACAGGUGGUUGGGUUGAGUAUACUAAGGCGCUCGAGAGAUUCGCGGUUAAGGAACUAGGCAAAAUGGUCCUGUAACUUCGGGAUAAAGGACGCCAGUGGCGACACUGGCCGCAGAGCAUAGGCCCAUGCGACUGUUUAACAAAAACAUAUGGCUGUGCGAAAUAGAAAUAUCAAGUAUACAGCCUGACACCUGCCCGGUGCUGGAAGGUUAAGAGGAGAUGUCAUCGCAAGAGAAGCAUUGAAUUGAAGCCCCAGUAAACGGCGGCCGUAACUAUAACGGUCCUAAGGUAGCGAAAUUCCUUGUCGGGUAAGUUCCGACCUGCACGAAUGGUGUAACGAUGUGGGCACUGUCUCAACCGCGAUCUCGGUGAAAUUGUAGUAUCGGUGAAGAUGCCGAUUACCCGCAACGGGACGAAAAGACCCCGUGAACCUUUACUAUAGCUUUACAUUGUACUUGGGUAUCAGAUGUGUAGGAUAGGCCGGAGACUGAGAGUGGGGCACGCCAGUGCUUCAGGAGUCGCUGUUGAAAUACGGCCCUUUUGAUGUUUGGGUACUAACUUGCGAAUAGCAAGGACACUGUAUGGUGGGUAGUUUGACUGGGGUGGUCGCCUCCAAAAGCGUAACGGAGGCUUCUAAAGGUACCCUCAGGCCGAUUGGUAACCGGUCGUAGAGUGUAAUGGCACAAGGGUGCUUGACUGGGAGACAAACAAGUCGCACAGGUAGGAAACUAGAGCAUAGUGAUCCGGUGGUUCCGUAUGGAAGGGCCAUCGCUCAAAGGAUAAAAGGUACUCCGGGGAUAACAGGCUGAUCGCUCCCAAGAGCUCAUAUCGACGGAGCGGUUUGGCACCUCGAUGUCGGCUCGUCACAUCCUGGGGCUGGAGAAGGUCCCAAGGGUUGGGCUGUUCGCCCAUUAAAGUGGCACGCGAGCUGGGUUCAGAACGUCGUGAGACAGUUCGGUCUCUAUCUGUUGUGGGCGUAGAGAUUUGCAGGGCUCUGACACUAGUACGAGAGGACCGUGUUGGACCGACCGCUGGUCUAUCGGUUAUGCCGCCAGGUGUAAUGCCGAGUAGCUAAGUCGGGCUAGGAUAAGUGCUGAAAGCAUCUAAGCACGAAGCCGACCCUAAGAUAAGAUCUCAUUGAGGGUGGUCAAAGACGAUGACCUUGAUAGGCUACAGGUGUAAAGACAGUAAUGUCAAAGCCGAGUAGUACUAAUUACCCGAACGAUUCGCUA